AUUGAACGCUGGCGGCAGGCCUAACACAUGCAAGUCGAGCGGAUGAAGGGAGCUUGCUCCUGGAUUCAGCGGCGGACGGGUGAGUAAUGCCUAGGAAUCUGCCUGGUAGUGGGGGAUAACGUCCGGAAACGGGCGCUAAUACCGCAUACGUCCUGAGGGAGAAAGUGGGGGAUCUUCGGACCUCACGCUAUCAGAUGAGCCUAGGUCGGAUUAGCUAGUUGGUGGGGUAAAGGCCUACCAAGGCGACGAUCCGUAACUGGUCUGAGAGGAUGAUCAGUCACACUGGAACUGAGACACGGUCCAGACUCCUACGGGAGGCAGCAGUGGGGAAUAUUGGACAAUGGGCGAAAGCCUGAUCCAGCCAUGCCGCGUGUGUGAAGAAGGUCUUCGGAUUGUAAAGCUCUGUAAGUUGGGAGGAAGGGCAGUAAGUUAAUACCUGGCUGUCUUGACGUUACCAACAGAAUAAGCACCGGCUAACUUCGUG
rnacentral:rRNA from 1 species